UUAAGUGACGAUAGCCUAGGAGAUACACCUGUUCCCAUGCCGAACACAGAAGUUAAGCCCUAGCACGCCUGAUGUAGUUGGGGGUUGCCCCCUGUUAGAUAUGGUAGUCGCUUAGCA
rnacentral:rRNA from 2 species